GACGAACGCUGGCGGCGUGCUUAACACAUGCAAGUCGAGCGGUAAGGCCCUUUCGGGGGUACACGAGCGGCGAACGGGUGAGUAACACGUGGGUGACCUGCCCUCAGCUCUGGGAUAAGCCUGGGAAACCGGGUCUAAUACUGGAUAUGACUCCAUGACGCAUGUUGUGGGGUGGAAAGCCUUGUGCGGCUGAGGAUGGGCCCGCGGCCUAUCAGCUUGUUGGUGGGGUGAUGGCCUACCAAGGCGACGACGGGUAGCCGGCCUGAGAGGGCGACCGGCCACACUGGGACUGAGACACGGCCCAGACUCCUACGGGAGGCAGCAGUGGGGAAUCUUGCGCAAUGGGCGAAAAGCCUGACGCAGCGACGCUGCGU
rnacentral:rRNA from 1 species